UUAUGCCUACUAACCAUGUGACUAAUGUUGUUUUAUCAGUAUAUAGAUACUUGUAAUUUCUCUGUAUAGUCAGUAGAGUUGUAGCAGCUUGCGAGUGUGCAUCUAAGUGCACACUCCUGGCUGUGUCCUAUUUCACCUGGACACAGCUUUUUUACUAAAAGUUUGUUCAACGAGACCAUUGACUCUUUGAAUUAUUAUUCUACUCAUCAAGUCUCACCAACUUUAACACCGUCCUCUGCAUGGAGUGAUUUUCCGUGUGGAUUUUACAUUGCGAUUAAAGACAGAAUAGUUAAAGUUUCCUUUCUCAAGGUUUGGGAAGUACCUCAGGAGUUUCCCUCUUAGACAAAGUUCACCUCCAGGCGAUGUGCAAAUUGAAAGUGGAAGAGGUCAAUAAAAGGGAUUUCAGUGCACCACUCUUCGGUUAAACACCAACAGAGAGGAUGGACAGAGUCGUGGAUAAACAGAGGAUUCCUCAGCAGAGGACGAAUCAACAGUGAAUUAAAAAUGAGCAGCACAUCUACCAUGGCAAUUCUGAUCCUGCUUCUGUGUGCCUUUGCUGCACAUGGUAUUCCGACCUUAGAAAUCCAAGGCGUCGUCAGUGCAUUAAACCGACCAAGAAAUUUAUUCACCCGAAGUUCAUGAAGAGUGUGAAAUAUAUUCCCAGAGGUUUGCACUGUGAGAGACUGGAGAUAAUAGUCAAGCUGAAAAGUGGGAAAA